rnacentral:rRNA from 1 species
UCCAGACUCCUACGGGAGGCAGCAGUGGGGGAUAUUGCACAAUGGGGGGAACCCUGAUGCAGCGACGCCGCGUGGGUGAAGGAGCGUUUCGGCGCGUAAAGCCCUCUCGGCAGGGAAGAAGGAGGACGGUACCUGACUAAGAAGCCCCGGCUAACUACGUGCCAGCAGCCGCGGUAAUACGUAGGGGGCAAGCGUUAUCCGGAUUUACUGGGUGUAAAGGGGGCGCAGACGGCAGCGCAAGCCAGGAGUGAAAGCCCGGGGCCCAACCCCGGGACUGCUCUUGGAACUGCGCGGCUGGAGUGCAGGAGGGGCAGGCGGAAUUCCUGGUGUAGCGGUGAAAUGCGUAGAUAUCAGGAGGAACACCGGUGGCGAAGGCGGCCUGCUGGACUGCGACUGACGUUGAGGCUCGAGAGCGUGGGGAGCAAACAGGAUUAGAUACCCGGGUACGC